GACGAACGCUGGCGGCGUGCUUAACACAUGCAAGUCGAACGGAAAGGCCCUGCUUUUGUGGGGUUCUCGAUUGGCGAACGGGUGAGUAACACGUGAGUAACCUGCCCUUGACUUUGGGAUAACUUCAGGAAACUGGGGCUAAUACCGGAUAGGAUCUCCUGCUGCAUGGUGGGGGUUGGAAAGUUUCGGCGGUUGGGGAUGGACUCGCGGCUUAUCAGCUAGUUGGUGGGGUAGUUGCUUACCAAGGCUUUGACGGGUAGCCGGCCUGAGAGGGUGAACGGGGACAAGAGGACUGAGAUAGGGAGCAGAAUGGUACGGUCGGCAGCGGUCGGGAGUCUUGCAGAGCGGCGGGACGCCUGAUGCGGAGGCGCCCGGUGCGUGAUAACGGCUUAUGGGGUAUAAACCAAUUUGGAAUGUGACAAGGCGUGAGUGACGGUAAUGGAUCAAGAAGCAACGGCUAACUACGUG
rnacentral:rRNA from 1 species